GAUGAACGCUGGCGGCGUGCCUAAUACAUGCAAGUCGAACGCUGGAAAUCUAGCUUGCUAGAUUGAAGGAGUGGCGAACGGGUGAGUAAUACAUAAGCAACCUACCCACGAAGACUGGGAUAAUCUCUGGAAACGGGGACUAAUACCGGAUAGGUAAUCGGAAGGCAUCUUCUGAUUAUUAAAGGUUAAAAACACUGGUGGAUGGGCUUAUGGCGCAUUAGUUAGUUGGUGAGGUAACGGCCCACCAAGA
rnacentral:rRNA from 1 species